rnacentral:rRNA from 1 species
UACAGAGGUCUCAAGCGUUGUUCGGAUUCAUUGGGCGUAAAGGGUGCGUAGGUGGCGCGGUAAGUCGGGUGUGAAAUUUCGGAGCUUAACUCCGAAACUGCAUUCGAUACUGCCGAGCUUGAGGACUGGAGAGGAGACUGGAAUUUACGGUGUAGCGGUGAAAUGCGUAGAUAUCGUAAGGAAGACCAGUGGCGAAGGCGGGUC